rnacentral:rRNA from 1 species
CAGCCGCCGCGGUAAUACCGGCGGCCCGAGUGGCGGCCACUCUUAUUGGGCUUAAAGCGUCCGUAGCCGGGUUGGUUAGUCUCCCGGGAAAUCUGGCCGCUUAACGGUCAGAAUUCCGGGAGAUACUGCCAGCCUAGGGACCGGGAGAGGCCGAGGGUAUUCCCGGAGUAGGGGUGAAAUCCUAUAAUCCCGGGAGGACCACCUGUGGCGCAGGCGCUCGGCUGGAACGGGUCCGACGGUGAGGGACGAAGGCCAGGGGAGCAAACCGGAUUAGAUACCCGGGUAGUCCUGGCUGUAAACGAUGCGGACUUUGUGUCGGACAAGCUAUGAGCUUGUCCGGUGCCGGAGGGAAACCGUUAAGUCCGCCGCCUGGGGAGUACGGCCGCAAGGCUGAAACUUAAAGGAAUUGGCGGG